CCCGGGGAGGUGGCUCUUGGGAUAUGGGGUUUGCCUAACAAAGGGUUGCCUAAUGGACCGGUUUCUGGGCGGGCGUUUGGCCCAACGGUUCAGCCACCCGUUAAGAUGCCCGCAUCCGAUAUUGUAGUGCGAGGUUCUCUUCCUGGUUUAGCUGCCGAUGCCCGCGUCCUGCAGAUGCACGGCCUCCGAGUUCCUGGCUCCCUGCCACUCUCGUGGGGGACCCGGAUGGAGCUCCCCGCUCCUGGCCCAGCCCCGACUGCUGCGGGCAUUUGGGUAGUGAGCCAGCAGGUGUGGCCAGCAAUGACUUUCACAUGCAGCAGGCUGGAAUUAUAAUGUAGCGAUACUGAAUACCCACCAAGCAGCUAUGACACCUUAUCAUUCCUGUUGAAGAGCUCAUACCAGUAUAACCAUCAUACCGCUCCCAACUACAGCCUAACUGACACUGAGGAAACCAUUUUUUUGAAUUUGUAUUCAUCAUUGCAAUAUCUCAGUUGCAUACAGCCCACAGUUGUAGAGGACUGUGUCACCAAAUGACUCUUGGGUCAUUCUCCAGCCACAAGAUAAGAGCUGAAUUCAAGGCCUAGGAAGAUUUCCUUUGGGCUUGGGGCCAGCUCCCCUUUGACUGCCUACCCAUGCCAGCCAUCAACAGCAGCAACACUGAUAGCACUCAAGGGCAAGAACACUUUCCUGAAAACUGUCAUUGUUUUUGUAUCCUAGCAAAUGGAACCAGAGUCCAGUGGGCAAAGAUCUGGUGUAGGUUGGGGUGGAGAUGUUCUGGUCAUGACUGGGAGAGCUCAGACAAGACCUAGAAGGAUCAGCCAUCAUGUUUGGAACAUUCCACGCUCGGAUGAGGCAUGAGCACCUUCUCAGAGGGGAAGCUCUCCUCGCUGACUCCCUCCAGGACACCUGGCUUGAUGACUUCGCACAGGACAAAGGAAUCAGGCAUCCAUCAAUGAUGAGAUUGUUCUUGAAGCCACCAGAUAUAACCUGGGGGGAGAUAAGGUGCAAAGGGAAAGAAAGCUUGAUGGGUGUUUGAGUGGGAAGAGUAAAGGGAAUGAAAAAGAGAAAGUAAGGCGAGAGGGGAAGCCAUGGGAAUGUCCUUAUUCUAUUUAACAUAUUUCUCAUUAUGUUUUUCCUUCUACCACCAAACAUGAUCCAGGCCACAUGACUCUGUGCCUGACAAGGUUAAUGUGCAGCGCUUGGCUGCCAUCUGGGCAGGAGUGUGAAUGACUUCACAAGUCUAUGUGAACACAAAGACGACAUAUGCGUGUAUGCAUGUUGUCAGAGCAGGCACUGGCUUGUUUGGGGAAGGUACCUUGGUGCCUUUGAGAAUGAUAUGUAAGAUCUUGUCCCAGAAGAAAACUGCUUGCUGUUAAGUAUUGGGUUGCCACCCUGUGUUCUUCAGAAACUGGGAGGAGCCAUAUUAAUUGUCCUCCAAGGCACCUGUAGAUGAUGGGAGCCCUGCCCAUCACAUUGAGCUUUCAGCAGUCCUGGGCUUGCUUUGGAUUCCUAUUAAGUGUGAGGUCAGAGUGUCCAAAGGCAUCCAAUAGUUCCCCAGCCCCACGUGCGUUUCUGCCAUCUGGAAUAGAGCCUUGAAGGACUGACUGAGCAGAGUGACACCUUUUGAAGAAGGAGAUUGCAAAAAAAGUUGGGCUUGGGGGCCAGCGCUGUGGUGUAGUAGGUAAAGCCACCUCCUGCAGUACCGGCAAUCCCAUAUGGGUGACAGUUCAAAUUCCGGCUGCUCCACUUCCAAUCCAGGUCUCUGCUAUAGCCUCAGAAAGCAGUGAAAGAUGGCUCAAGUGCUUGGGUCCUUGCACCCACGUGGGAGACCUGGAGGAAACUCUUGGCUCCUGGUUUCAGAUCAGCGCAGCGCCGGCUGUUGUAGCCAACGGGGGAUUGAACCAGUGGAUGGAAGAUCUCUCUGCCAUCACCCGAUCUCUGCCUCUACUUCUCUCUGUGUGCAACUCUACCUUUU